rnacentral:rRNA from 1 species
GAUGAACGCUGGCGGCGUGCCUAAUACAUGCAAGUCGAGCGAUCGGCGGACGGGUGAGUAAUGUCUGUGAUACUGCCCGCUGGCGGGGGCGAACUACUGGUACCGGUAACUAAUACCGCAUAGCAUCGAAUGUUCCCAGAUGGGAUUAGUUAGUAGGUGGGGUAACGGCUCACCUAGGCGACGAUCGCUAGCGGGUCUGAGAGGAUGACCAGUCACACGGGAACUGAGACACGGGCAAGACUCCUACGUGAGGCAGCAGUGGGGAAUAUUGGACAAUGGGCACAAGCCUGAUGCAGCCAUGCCGGGUAUGUGAAGAAGGCCUUCGGGUUGUAAAGUACUUUAAGCGAGGAGGCGUUACUCGCAGAAGAAGCACCGGCUAACUCCGUGCCAGCCGCCGCGGUAAUAC